GGCGAUGUAGCUAAGCCUGGUUAUAGCGUUACGCUCAUAACGUAAAGGUCGCGUGUUCAAAUCACGCCAUCGCCA
rnacentral:tRNA from 1 species